AUGCAGUCGCACGGGCUCUUCGCGAGCAAGUGGCGGACGGGUGAGUAACCCGUGAGAAUGUGCCUUCAGGAUGGGGAUAACAAUAGGAAACUAGUGCUAAGACCCAAUGUGCCUUAAGUGGUGAAAAAUGAAAAUUGCCUGAAGAGGAGCUCGCGUCUGAUUAGCUAGUUGGGGUGGUAAAAGCGCACCAAGGCAACGAUCAGUAGCUGGUCUGAGAGGAUGAGCAGCCACACUGGGACUGAGACACGGCCCAGACUCCUACGGGAGGCAGCAGUGGGGAAUUUUCCGCAAUGGGCGAAAGCCUGACGGAGCAAUACCGCGUGAGGGAGGAAGGCUCUUGGGUUGUAAACCUCAAAACUUAGGGAAGAAAAAAAUGACGGUACCUAAUUUAAGCAUCGGCUAACUCCGUGCCAGCAGCCGCGGUAAUACG
rnacentral:rRNA from 1 species